rnacentral:rRNA from 1 species
UGAAGAGUUUGAUCAUGGCUCAGAUUGAACGCUGGCGGCAGGCCUAACACAUGCAAGUCGAACGGUAACAGGAAGCAGCUUGCUGCUUCGCUGACGAGUGGCGGACGGGUGAGUAAUGUCUGGGAAACUGCCUGAUGGAGGGGGAUAACUACUGGAAACGGUGGCUAAUACCGCAUAACGUCGCAAGACCAAAGAGGGGGACCUUCGGGCCUCUUGCCAUCAGAUGUGCCCAGAUGGGAUUAGCUAGUUGGUGAGGUAACGGCUCACCAAGGCGACGAUCCCUAGCUGGUCUGAGAGGAUGACCAGCCACACUGGAACUGAGACACGGUCCAGACUCCUACGGGAGGCAGCAGUGGGGAAUAUUGCACAAUGGGCGCAAGCCUGAUGCAGCCAUGCCGCGUGUAUGAAGAAGGCCUUCGGGUUGUAAAGUACUUUCAGCGGGGAGGAAGGUGUUGUGGUUAAUAACCGCAGCAAUUGACGUUACCCGCAGAAGAAGCACCGGCUAACUCCGUGCCAGCAGCCGCGGUAAUACGGAGGGUGCAAGCGUUAAUCGGAAUUACUGGGCGUAAAGCGCACGCAGGCGGUCUGUCAAGUCGGAUGUGAAAUCCCCGGGCUCAACCUGGGAACUGCAUUCGAAACUGGCAGGCUUGAGUCUUGUAGAGGGGGGUAGAAUUCCAGGUGUAGCGGUGAAAUGCGUAGAGAUCUGGAGGAAUACCGGUGGCGAAGGCGGCCCCCUGGACAAAGACUGACGCUCAGGUGCGAAAGCGUGGGGAGCAAACAGGAUUAGAUACCCUGGUAGUCCACGCCGUAAACGAUGUCUACUUGGAGGUUGUGCCCUUGAGGCGUGGCUUCCGGAGCUAACGCGUUAAGUAGACCGCCUGGGGAGUACGGCCGCAAGGUUAAAACUCAAAUGAAUUGACGGGGGCCCGCACAAGCGGUGGAGCAUGUGGUUUAAUUCGAUGCAACGCGAAGAACCUUACCUGGUCUUGACAUCCACAGAACUUUCCAGAGAUGGACUGGUGCCUUCGGGAACUGUGAGACAGGUGCUGCAUGGCUGUCGUCAGCUCGUGUUGUGAAAUGUUGGGUUAAGUCCCGCAACGAGCGCAAC